UUCUGGUUGAUCCUGCCGGACCUGACUGCUAUCGGAUUGAUACUAAGCCAUGCGAGUCAUUGUAGCAAUACAAGGCAGACGGCUCAGUAACGCGUAGUCAAUCUACCCUAUGGACGGGAAUAACCUCGGGAAACUGAGAAUAAUGCCCGAUAGAACAUUAUACCUGGAACGGUUUAUGUUUCAAAUGAUUUAUCGCCGUAGGAUGGGACUGCGGCCUAUCAGUUUGUUGGUGAGGUAAUGGCCCACCAAGACUAUUACAGGUACGGGCUCUGAGAGGAGUAGCCCGGAGAUGGGUACUGAGACACGGACCCAGGCCCUAUGGGGCGCAGCAGGCGAGAAAACUUUGCAAUGUGCGAAAGCACGACAAGGUUAAUCCGAGUGGUUCCUGCUAAAGAAACCUUUUGCUAGUCCUAGAAACACUAGUGAAUAAGGGGUGGGCAAGUUCUGGUGUCAGCCGCCGCGGUAAAACCAGCACCUCAAGUGGUCAGGAUGAUUAUUGGGCCUAAAGCAUCCGUAGCUCGUUUUGUAAGUUUUCGGUUAAAUCCAUACGCUUAACGUAUGGGCUGCCGGGAAUACUGCAUAACUAGGAAGUGGGAGAGGUAGACGGUACUCGGUAGGAAGGGGUAAAAUCCUUUGAUCUAUUGAUGACCACCUGUGGCGAAGGCGGUCUACCAGAACACGUUCGACGGUGAGGGAUGAAAGCUGGGGGAGCAAACCGGAUUAGAUACCCGGGUAGUCCCAGCUGUAAACUAUGCAAACUCAGUGAUGCAUUGGCUUGUGGCCAAUGCAGUGCUGCAGGGAAGCCGUUAAGUUUGCCGCCUGGGAAGUACGUACGCAAGUAUGAAACUUAAAGGAAUUGGCGGG
rnacentral:rRNA from 1 species